rnacentral:rRNA from 1 species
UGUGAAGUUACUUAAACAACCAGGAGGUUGGCUUAGAAGCAGCCAUCCUUUAAAGAAAGCGUAAUAGCUCACUGGUCUAGUGAUUUUGCGCGGAAAAUAUAACGGGGCUAAAGUAAGUACCGAAGCUGUAGACUUGCGCACAACUUAGAUUAUUUAAGUUUAGAAUAUGAGAAACUAAGUUAUAUUUUUACUGAUUUUUAUAGAGUAAAGAUAGAAAUAAAACUUAGUAAAAUCAGUAAAAAUAUUCUUAGGCUAAAGUUAAGUAGUUUAAGUUGUGUGCAAGUGGUAGGAGAGCGUUCUAUUUGCGUCGAAGGUAUACCGGUAAGGAGUGCUGGAGCGAAUAGAAGUGAGCAUGCAGGCAUGAGUAGCGAUAAUUAAUGUGAGAAUCAUUAACGCCGUAAACCCAAGGUUUCCUACGCGAUGCUCGUCAUCGUAGGGUUAGUCGGGUCCUAAGUCGAGUCCGAAAGGGGUAGACGAUGGCAAAUUGGUUAAUAUUCCAAUACCAACAUUAGUGUGCGAUGGAAGGACGCUUAGGGCUAAGGGGGCUAGCGGAUGGAAGUGCUAGUCUAAGGUCGUAGGAGGUUAUACAGGCAAAUCCGUAUAACAAUACUCCGAGAACUGAAAGGCUUUUUGAAGUCUUCGGAUGGAUAGAAGAACCCCUGAUGCCGUCGAGCCAAGAAAAGUUUCUAAGUUUAGCUAAUGUUGCCCGUACCGUAAACCGACACAGGUGGGUGGGAUGAGUAUUCUAAGGCGCGUGGAAGAACUCUCUUUAAGGAACUCUGCAAAAUAGCACCGUAUCUUCGGUAUAAGGUGUGGUUAGCUUCGUACUAGGAUUUACUCCGAAAGCGAAGAAACUUACAACAAAGAGUCCCUCCCGACUGUUUACCAAAAACACAGCACUCUGCUAACUCGUAAGAGGAUGUAUAGGGUGUGACGCCUGCCCGGUGCUCGAAGGUUAAUUGAUGGGGUUAGCAUUAGCGAAGCUCUUGAUCGAAGCCCGAGUAAACGGCGGCCGUAACUAUAACGGUCCUAAGGUAGCGAAAUUCCUUGUCGGUUAAAUACCGACCUGCAUGAAUGGCGUAACGAGAUGGGAGCUGUCUCAAAGAGGGAUCCAGUGAAAUUGUAGUGGAGGUGAAAAUUCCUCCUACCCGCGGCAAGACGGAAAGACCCCGUGGACCUUUACUACAGCUUGACACUGCUAUUUGGAUAAGAAUGUGCAGGAUAGGUGGGAGGCUUUGAGUAUAUGACGCCAGUUGUAUAGGAGCCAUUGUUGAGAUACCACUCUUUCUUAUUUGGGUAGCUAACCAGCUUGAGUUAUCCUCAAGUGGGACAAUGUCUGGUGGGUAGUUUGACUGGGGCGGUCGCCUCCCAAAUAAUAACGGAGGCUUACAAAGGUUGGCUCAGAACGGUUGGAAAUCGUUCAUAGAGUAUAAAGGUAUAAGCCAGCUUAACUGCAAGACAUACAAGUCAAGCAGAGACGAAAGUCGGUCUUAGUGAUCCGGUGGUUCUGUGUGGAAGGGCCAUCGCUCAAAGGAUAAAAGGUACCCCGGGGAUAACAGGCUGAUCUCCCCCAAGAGCUCACAUCGACGGGGAGGUUUGGCACCUCGAUGUCGGCUCAUCGCAUCCUGGGGCUGGAGCAGGUCCCAAGGGUAUGGCUGUUCGCCAUUUAAAGCGGUACGCGAGCUGGGUUCAGAACGUCGUGAGACAGUUCGGUCCCUAUCUGCCGUGGGCGUAAGAAGAUUGAAGAGAUUUGACCCUAGUACGAGAGGACCGGGUUGAACAAACCACUGGUGUAGCUGUUGUUCUGCCAAGAGCAUCGCAGCGUAGCUAAGUUUGGAAAGGAUAAACGCUGAAAGCAUCUAAGCGUGAAGCCAACUCUAAGAUGAAUCUUCUCUAAGCUCUCUAGAAGACUACUAGUUUGAUAGGCUGGGUGUGUAAUGGAUGAAAGUCCUUUAGCUGACCAGUACUAAUAGAGCGUUUGGCUUAUCUUUAAUAAAGCAU